rnacentral:tRNA from 1 species
GCCCCCGGGAUGAAACUGGUAGACGCAGGGGACUCAAAAUCCCCCGGUAGCGAUACCGUGUCGGUUCGAGUCCGACCGGAGGCA